UUCUCUCUCUUAAUUUUGCAGUCUCUGACAACUGUGGUUUCAGAUGAAGGUUCUAUUGUUAGAAUGCUUGUUAUUUACUGAUGGUCACUUGAGGAGGUGUUGAAUAUAUGUCCCUGCCUCCAUAUGUCCUUCUCUUUUCUUGUCUAUCUCCUUGACUCCACUCUAAUAAUGAAGUUGUCUAUGGCUGCAGCAUCACUGCGCAAGCUCAGGUUUUAAGAUCUCCUCCAGAUUAACGAAGUACCUUGCUGCUUGGGACUCAAGAUUGCUUGAGAAAUAAAUGGAGGAAAAGAUACAUCCACCGUUUUUGUAGGAUCAUAUCUGAGCUGAUGUUUGGGAUUGGACAUCUCCUAGAUCAGGGUUAAUGGAACUGAAGAUCUUACAGAAGUAGUAAAAAACUGAUACCGUGAAGCAAUAUGCAUCAGAGGGUUGGGACACUCUUCACACAAGCAUCCCGCUUUAGCAGACUAUGGGCUUCUGAGUGGACUCAACAUGAAUCUGAUUGUGCUCGAAUGAGGAAAAGAACCAAGCUAUCACAACAUCAUGGAAAGUAGGCUCCUGUUCGGUGACUCAACUGGGCCUUCCUCAUCUGUCGCUCAAGAUGUGCGGCGCUGAUUAAAAGGCAGCAACUAAUAUUGGUCUCCAUAGAGGAUCCUGUUAGGGAAGCCUUUCCUACAGAUCCUGAUGCCUUCCAGCACACCGUUACAGCGCAGCUGGUGCAUCACCAGAGGGUUCUCCAUGGCCCCAGGAGUCUUGGUCUCGUUGGGGAUGAUGCAGCGCACAAAGUGAGGAUGGGUGGACCUCAGUUGUUGAGAAUCUUUGGAGGACGCAACCACGUGAGGUAAAGGUCGGCCGUCCGUGCCAACUCCCGUCCAUCGUCCACCUCACUGCUCCAAGCAGCUCAUUAAAGAGCGCCAGCAGUCCGUCUCUCUGUGCCGCCUUGUGCUGCUGCAGCUACUGGAGGCAUGAGUUGCAUUGCAGACAGAGGGGACUACAGCACAGAAGAUCCCAAAGGUCUUAGGUGGCCAUCACUGUUUCACUCCUCAUCUAGCCCUUUCUGUGAUGAAGAAUGACAAAAAAAGGGAACAAUGAGAGAUGGAUUAGUGACUAAAGACUCAGGAAGAGUUAAACAAAAUAACCCACAGGGUAUAAAUGAUGCUGUGUAUUGUAGAAUAAAACCAUCAUAGCAUGGUAUUCAUGACUUUCUUUGUAACUACAGGAUGUCCUUCACCAUGGCACAAUGUCUUAAACACAAAUUGUUUCUGAGGGGACAAUAAAGUAAAAUGUUAAGGGACUUGAUGACUCAGGACAGAACAGAAAUGGAUAAAAUCAUGCAUACAUCAUGUCACCACAUUUUCCAAUGCUAAAUUCAAGGGCAGUAAUUUCAUUCAUUUAACUAGCCUCAGCAAAUCUAUUGAUGAGUAUACCAACAGAGUCCACUAUGAACCCACUACUAACUGCAUGAGAGCCAUUAAUGCACAAACCAGUAGGAUAGCUACAGAUCCUGUCACUGAACAAUUCACCAUGAAAACUAGCUGACUUUUUCCUCACCUCUGCCCUGUUUCUCAUGUUAUUUUAUCUUCAUCUCACUAACAAACCGUUCAACACUCAUACCAGUACUUGAAAAGCAAUCUUCUAAAAUCUGCCUUUUUUCCACAUCUACAGUUAAAAGUAGAUGUUUACAUACACUGUAUAAAACGACACAUACCUAUUGUCUUGCACUCUCUGAGAUUACAUUCAACUAAAUCUUUCCUGUUUUAAGUCACUUAGGUUUACCAAAACAAUUUAUCUUAACGAUGUAAUAAUGAUAUUAUUUGCUUUUUUUACUACUUUCUUCAUAUUCAAAGGUUUACUUGCAAUAAGUUUAGCAUGCCUUUAAACAAUUUGGGAAAACCCAGGUGAUCACAUGGCCUCAUACACUUUGGAUGGGUUAAUUCACAUUAUAUGAGUGGUUUGGGGGUACAUCUGUGGAUGUAUUUUCAGGCAACACCUCAAUAAACUGUUUAUAGGAGUAAAACCACAAUAUCAGAAGAAAUCAGCAAAAAUAUCAGGAAGAGUCUUGGGUACAAUGUCCGGAUGUCUGAUUGUAUUUAUCUGUUUAAAUGAUUAUAUGCAGGUAAAAAUCCUAUCAUCAUGUUCAGCCAUGAUUUUGUUCAGGAAGAAGUGGGCUUGUCUGUCCCGGAGAUUAAAGUAUUUUCAUGUGAAAUGUGUGUAUUAACCCCAGAACAAAAGCUAAAGAGCUUGUGAAGCUGUUAGCUGAAGUUAGGAAGAGAGCCUUGUUAUCAACAGUGAAAUGAAUCCUCUACCAACGCAGACUGAAAGGCCACCUGGAAGGAAGGAUCCAUUACUUUAAAAGCAUCAUUAAAUGAAAAACAGAUUACAGCUAACAAAAAUGCCACCAGAGGCAAAGACCUUUUCCAGAUUAAAUGCAAGCACUUGGCCAUAAAGACCACUGGUAUAUGUGCAGGAAAAAGGGGGAAAAUUACAAGCUGGACAACACCAACUCAACAGUGAAGCACGGAGGUGGUAGCAUUACGUGUCGUUGUUUGGCUGCAGAGCAGAUGUGUUCACUCCACAAACUAGAUAGCAACUAAAUUUGCUGCAAAUCAACUUAAGGAUGUCAGAGUUCAUGGUUUUGAGAGGCCAUCACAAAGCCCUGAUCUCAGACCCAGUCUCAUGGGCAGAGCUAAACAGGUUUGUGUGCAGAAGGUGGCUUCAAUCCUGACUCUGCUACGCUAGUUCUGUGAGGAGGAAUGGGCCAAAACUUAGAAAGUUGUGGAAGGAUAUGGCCUAAAAGAGGAACACAUUAAGCUACAUUUAUUACCAAGGUGAAAAACUGGUACUUUUUAUACAGUGUAGGUAACUGAGUUCAGCUCUCAGUGGUCCAUGUUUGCACCUCUUACACAACACUCAGAAUGUAUGUUCUUCAGCUGUAAAUUCAAUCUAAACAUUCUCCUCAUUGGGAAUUACAAGUAUUACUACUAACCACAUAUAACUCACUAACACAGCUCAUCAAACCAGAAAACCACUAAAUAAAAUUGACCUAUAAAACAGA